ACAAUAUUGGUGUUGAUUGCGAAUAAUAUAUAUAAUAUAUAUAUAAUAUAAUUCAUUGUAAAAUGUAGUUUGUAUUUGUAUUGCAAUCAAUUGAUACUAUUUACGACGUAUAUCAAACAAAUGCCUUGAAAAACUGUUAUAUUCCACAAACAAAAUGUCGAUCAAAUGUUAGUCAUUUAUAAAAUCACAUACAUAAUCAUAUUCAAAAUACACUUUACCGUAAACGACACAAUAGUAACGAUAAUGUAUAAGUUAAACGUUGUUUGGGCGUCCCUAGCCGAGUGGUUAAGUUCUUUAAUCUCAAAACACUUGCUUCUCACAGUUGUAGCUUCAGGCCGCGCAAGUGUCUUCGGAUUCUCUGAUAACAGGAAGCUAUUCAGCUGGCUAAUGAAAUGUCGUUGUUUUUACUCUCUUUUUUGUGUCUUAAAAUGCACACUGUGACACCUGAGGUAUUUGUCCAAUAGAAGGGCUGGAAAGUCGCCAUUUGAUCAUUACUAUGUUGGUUCGACGUAUCCUCCCCAAGAAAAAAGAAAAAAAAACAACAAAGAAACAAAGUUAAUGUUUAUUGAUUAAAGAAACAUAAUUAUCCUUUUCGUUACAAGAUAAGCUGAAUUGGCUUCAUAUCUAAACAUUCACUAUUAUAAUUGUCAUAAACCAAUAAUUGAUAGUGAAAAAUGUCAUAAAAAUACUGCUAAAUGACCGUUAAAUAGAAAUUGACUUCAACUGGCACAUUUUGCAUUAGAACUACUAUUUCAAACAUUCAAAUAAACUAUAGUCAUGUAUCAUUUUGAUAUGUUUUAUAAAAUGUUGCAUGAUCGAAACAAAGUUGAUAAAGUGGAAAGUGAUUAUUUUAGUAAGCACAUUUCUAUGAUGAGAUAUAAUAUUUUGUUCUCGAAUAAGUGUCCUUAUUGAUUUUUGAAAUUCCCGACUUACUCUACACUAAUUCGCUUUGACCAACCACUUUAUCAACUUUGUUUCUAUCAUGCAACAUUUUAUGAAACAUAUCAAAAUGAUGAGAUAGGGCACAAAAUAGGCACAAUUUAAUGAAACACUCCUAAUAUGUCAAAAGAAUAACUCUAAGUAGCAUGUACGUAACAUCAAUGUAACACAUUUAUAACAAUUAUCUAUGAAAUUUUCAUUUCAUUCUCAACUCUUGUAACACUUGUAACAAAGCUGUAACAAAUUUGCCUUUAAAAUGGCCAGAAAUCGGAAUAAAUAAGGUAACAUAGAUGUUACAAUGUUGUUACAGCAUUGUUACAGGAUUGUUACAAGUGUUACAAGAGUUUGGAGUGAAAUGAAAAUUUCACACACGUUUGUUUCAAAUGUUACAGGUUGUUACAAGUGUUACAGCACAGGCCUUUAAAAUGGUCAGAAAUCGGAAUAAAUCAGGUUACAUAGAUGUUACAAGGUUGCUACAUAGUUGUUACAGCAUUGUUACAAAUGUAACGAGAAUUCGGAGUGAAAAGAUAUUUCCACACAUUAUUGUUACAAAUGUUACAGGUUGUUACAAGUGUUACAGCACAAGCCUUUAAAAUGGUCAGAAAUCGGAAUUCAUAAGGUUACAGAUGUUACAAUGUUGUUACAUAGUUGUUACAGCAUUGUUACAAGUGUUACGAGAGUAUGGAUUAAUAUGAAAAAUUAAGGCACAAAAUUGUGUCAAUAUGUAAGGGAACAAAUUCAAGCAAACGUGUUACAAAUGUUACUGAAUUUACAUGCGUUAUAUAGGAGUUACUUAGUGUUACACGAGUAACAAAUGGCAAGUGUUCUAUUAAAUUGCGCCCAUUUUGUGCCCUACGUGCCAUCUUAACUUUAUUCAAUUCAAAUAAUAUCACAUGUUCAGUUUUCAUAAUUGAAUUGGUCAAUGCAAGAUGGUACAAAACAUUAUUAUACAUUAUUUUGAAAAAAAGGGCAGUUUAUAAAAUUUAACUUUAAAUUGAUAUAUCUUAAAAAACAAAUCACAAAUAAGUAAUGUUAUAAAUAAAGGAAAUCACAUAUAUAACAAUUUAUACUUCUUUUUGUGUAUUCCGCUUAAAGAAAAAUUAAUCUCAUCCAGAAAUUUAUAUAUUAGUAAAUGAUCAACAGGGUGACAAAACUUCAAUAACUUUUACACAACGCUUUUAUUACCAAAAGGUUAAUAAUUAUAUGAAAAUAACAUGAAAUACAAUACAAUAUAAAUGUUUAAAUUUUAGAUGGAAUUAUAAUAUCUUUACAUAUUGCAAAGAACAAAACAACCCUUAUUUUGCAUCUGAAGAACUAUGUUUGAAAGAUGUUACAAAAAUUAGCACUUUUAUUACAUAUCUUUAUACUUUUAAUAAGAUUUAGCGUGAACAAAUUCAUAUUGUGUGGUCAAAGUCAAGAAAUCCAAUGUUUUUAUUUGGUUCUGAAUCAGAUGCUCAUUUAUUGUUUUGUUAUUUUUUUGCAGAUCAUUUAAUGACAAGCGUUUUAUAAUAAUAGUUAAAAUAAUAAUAAUAA